ensembl:lncRNA
AGGGGGCUUCGCAGCCGGAGGUCGUCCCUCUCCCUGCGAGGGCCGCGAGCGCCCAGCCCUGCUCCCGAGGGACUCCACGGGAAGCCGUCUAGAAUGGUCGGGGCGACUCACCGUCGCCGCGGCACCGGCGGCGGCCGCAAUAUCAAGAACGACCACCUCCGAAGCUCGUAGUCGGGCGUCUGUCAGAAGGAGGCGGGUUGGAGGCAACUGGAGUGAAUUGAGUACAGCUGUGUAAUCUAACACUCCAGGUAAGGAGGGUUACCUGGAGGCUUCGGCUCGUUGGAACAGAGCCUGAGCCCCUGUGGGUGCCUCUCUCCUCCCACAGUCCUCCGCGUCCUCCUUGCCACCCCGCCUCCACCCACCAGGCUGAUGCGCACUGGCUUGAAAGCCUCAAAUACAAUCUAGUGAUCAUUCUCAGAGACACAACUAACAGCACUGAGGACUUCCUUUGCACCAGGAUCCUGUGCAAGUUUACCUAAGUUGAGCAGAGAGGUGGUGUGCUCAGAGUUUCGGAGCCAGUGACCGGCAGAGCCAGCUCCUGUGGCUCUAGGCUGAUCCCCCAGCACCCUUGCCGCCCUCCGCAGGUUCCCAGCCCUUUGACACCGAUAAGAACAGGUGCAGCAUGAUGUGCUUCCACAAACCAAGCAUGCCAGUGGGCCCACCUCCCAGCGACCUGACUUGCACUGCCUUCCAAGCACGAGGUCACCCUGGGGUCACCAUGCUCCUGAUUUGUAGCAGCGAAGAUUAGCUUUCUUCCUUUCUGUAAUUUUUAUAGAAAUGGAUUCUCGUGGCAUGAGCUCUUGACUCUGGCUUCUUUGGCUCAGUCUUGCGCCUAUGAGUCAUCCAUAGUGCUCUACACAGUUGUCAGCGUUCAUUCUCACAGUCGUGUGAUAGUCCAUCGUGUGAACAGACCGAAGUUUGUCUGUUUUGCUGCUCAUGGGCAUCCAGGUUAUUCCCAGGUGGGAAUUUUUGGCUAUUCUCAUUGUGCUGUCACAAGCUUUCCAGUGCAUGGCGUGAGCAUAAUUCUGUCAGGUGCCCGGUG